UGGGGAAUAUUGCACAAUGGAGGGAACUCUGAUGCAGCGACGCCGCGUGAACGAAGAAGGCUUUCGAGUCGUAAAGUUCUUUUAUAUGGGAAGAUAAUGACGGUACCAUAAGAAAAAGCCCCGGCUAACUACGUGCCAGCAGCCGCGGUAAUACGUAGGGGGCUAGCGUUGUCCGGAAUCACUGGGCGUAAAGGGUUCGCAGGCGGAAAUGCAAGUCAGGUGUAAAAGGCAGUAGCUUAACUACUGUAAGCAUUUGAAACUGCAUAUCUUGAGAAGAGUAGAGGUAAGUGGAAUUUUUAGUGUAGCGGUGAAAUGCGUAGAUAUUAAAAAGAAAACCGGUGGCGAAGGCGACUUACUGGGCUCAUUCUGACGCUGAGGAACGAAAGCGUGGGUAGCAAACAGG
rnacentral:rRNA from 1 species